rnacentral:misc_RNA from 1 species
GAAAUGCGAUAAUUAAUGUGAAUUGCAGAAUUCAGUGAAUCAUCGAGUCUUUGAACGCACAUUGCACCCCCUGGUAUUCCGGGGGGUAUGCCUGUCCGAGCGUCAUUGCUGCCCUCAAGCCCGGCUUGUGUGUUGGGUCCUCGUCCCCCCCCGGGGGACGGGCCCGAAAGGCAGCGGCGGCACCGCGUCCGGUCCUCGAGCGUAUGGGGCUUUGUCACACCGCUCUCGUAGGCCCGGCCGGUGCUGGCCGACGCUGAAAAGCAACCAUUAUUUCUCCAGGUUGACCUCGGAUCAGGUAGGGAUACCCGCUGAACUUAAGC